rnacentral:rRNA from 1 species
AUGGCUCAGAUUGAACGCUGGCGGCAGGCCUAACACAUGCAAGUCGAGCGGUAGCACAGAGAGCUUGCUCUCGGGUGACGAGCGGCGGACGGGUGAGUAAUGUCUGGGAAACUGCCUGAUGGAGGGGGAUAACUACUGGAAACGGUAGCUAAUACCGCAUAACGUCGCAAGACCAAAGUGGGG